UUCAUGGAGAGUUUGAUCCUGGCUCAGGACGAACGCUGGCGGCGUGCCUAAUACAUGCAAGUCGAGCGGACCGACGGGAGCUUGCUCCCUUAGGUCAGCGGCGGACGGGUGAGUAACACGUGGGUAAC
rnacentral:rRNA from 1 species